AUACAGAGGGUGCGAGCGUUAAUCGGAAUUACUGGGCGUAAAGCGCGCGUAGGCGGUCUAUUAAGUCAGAUGUGAAAUCCCAGGGCUCAACCUUGGAACUGCAUCUGAUACUGGUAGACUAGAGUUUUGGAGAGGGAAGUAGAAUUUCAGGUGUAGCGGUGAAAUGCAUAGAGAUCUGAAGGAAUACCAGUGGCGAAGGAGACUUCCUGGCCAAAAACUGACGCUGAGGUGCGAAAGCGUGGGUAGCAAACGGGAUUAGAUACCCUAGUAGUCC
rnacentral:rRNA from 1 species